AAGUAGAGAAAGGAAAAAUCCUACCAGAAAAAAGCAUAAUAUAAAGCAUAAUAUAAUAUAUCCAUUCCUACAAAGUAUCUCCAGGGGUGUAAGUAGAUUUUCAAAGUAAUUUGUCAAGUCUGUGAAGAAAUACUUAUUAAAAAAACUUAAAUUUCAGACUGCUUCAAAGCACUGGCAGAUUUCUUACUGGUGCUCUGAGGAAAACUGACUCCCUAGUACCUUACCCUGGGGUGUUUGCAAGAGUUCUUAAUGCUCCAAAGCAGGUGGAGACUGGACCAAGAGGAACAUUAAGCUGAUGAAAUGUGACUAUUGUUCAUUGUUAUCUCUGUAGUAGUGUUGGAGUGAUUCUAGAAGUUAUGUGUCACCUAGGACCCUAAGCAAAAAGUUGUGCUUUUUGUACCCAGGCAAAUCAUUUAUUUGCCAAACUGAGGCCUCUGAUAUUUAGAGAAACAUGAGAAAUAAUUUUGGAAGGCUUCUAAAUAAUUUUAGGUAGUAGUUUUAAAAAGAAACCAUAUCAUUUGGUGUUGGCAAACUUUUCCAUUUAUCCAGUUAUUCUUGAGAAAUUAAUUUAUCGUUGUUAUUUAUAGUACACUUACUAUUAUUUAUGGAGUUUCUUGACCAAAUGUUUGGUUCCAUAGGGGGGAGAAAUUAAGACAUUUUAAAGUACUUGAUGUAUUGAAAUCACGUUCUAUAACAUUUUGGAGCAACCUACAGGAAUGUUACUGUCUUUUAAUCUUGUCCUUAAGAAAUUUAUUGUUUUCUUGCAAAUACUAGUACAGUUCUUGAUUAAAUAAUAUUCUCUUUAUUUGUUAGCCUCUCUAAGUUUUGUAUUUUAGAAACUGGAGAAUAUUCUUGAAGAAUGCUCAGCCCUGACAGGUGUUCCCCAGAGCUGAAUAAGCUGAUGAGGCAACCUGCUUGUCAAACUUGGUAGCACAGAAAAAUGCUAGUGCCUUGUUUGUGAAGUCUGACAGAAGUCUAAUUGAUAUUUCCACUAAACAUGAUUAUAGGGAACCUAUGAUGAAAAUACGAAUGAAGAUCCAACUUACAACCCAAACAAUACAGGCGGAAAAAAAAUCUUUAUGCAAUAUGCUGGUAAUAUGCUAUUUAAAUUGACACUUGGCACUACACAAGUUGAGCUACAUGAAAAUAUAUUUAGGUUUGAUGCACUGAAUAGGUUCACCAAUGUGAUAAGAUCAACAGAGGCCUAUUAAGAUACAGUAACAUACCAGACUGCAGCAGAGGUUAGCUCUUCAGCAAAAGCUUCUGAAGAAACAAUUGGAAAAAAUCAUAGCUAUCUGCAGGAAUAUAGAGUACCUCAAGUUAAUGACCUCUGGUUCCAUUUUUACUGGGGUUUAAAAAGAAGAUGGAAAUCCCAAAUUUAGUAAACAUCUUCAGCCAUAUUCGAGUAAGAAAACUGUAAAUUUACUGAUUUUUAAAAUUCAAAUUUGCCAUUGAUAUUUUUAUAUCAGAUAUAUUUUGUAGAUUUUUUAAUAUUUAAAUGAUAAUAUAUCUUUUAUAUAUUAAGUACUAAAAUAACUUUAGUGUUUUAAGCUAUUGUUGUGUUGCUACUUCUAAAAAAGAAAAAAAAAAACACAUUUUUUUUUAUCUUGUGGAGUUAAAACUGAAAGAGAACUACCUCUGUGGGGGUUUUUUGGACCAAAUUUCAAAUGUCAGCAUUUUCAAGAUGCACAGAAUGAGUAUUUUUAUGUCCAUGGGGGAACUGAGUUUGAUGUUGGUACUCUGUCAGUAAAGAAUAUUUCAUUAGAGAUCAUGAUUCUAGUUUGCUGUCUGUCUUGGAAUGGAUGCAUCUGUAUGUCUUUACAGCUAAUAAACUAUAAGAGAAUAUUGUACUUGGUUAAAAUUAGCAUCAGAGAUAAUGAAAGAACAUGCUUGCUCCAGGAGUUAAUAAGUUUGUCUAGAUUUACAUUGUUGCUUGAUUAUCUACGUAGUUCUUAUAGACCAGGCCAAUACAGAGUUCAGUACUUAAUUCUCAAGUGGCUAUGCUGUAAGAAUAUUUGUUGCUAAUACUGAACUGUACAAGCUGGCACAAGAUACCUUAAUUGUAAGGGCAGCAUUGCCCUAAAAGCAGCAUAGCCUUUAGGUGGCAUUUCUGGAUGGCACAAUAGCAGUCUGAAGAAUGAUCAAAACAGAUUCACCUGAGAAGGUUUAAACUAUUCCCUGAGGGAUGCUUCUCAUUAGACAUUGGUUUAAUUUGCUGUGAUGCGUGCAAAUGAUCUGUAUAAAGAGGCAAAGCACUAUUAAACAUGAAAUCAAAAUUGUACUUCAGCUUCCACGUUUGCUGAUCAUUGGUAAGGCUUCUGAAGCUGCAAUUCUAUUGGUCAUUUUACUGAUGUAAGCAGUUAGGUGUUGAUGUAAACAAUCCUUAUGGCUGAUUUAGUAACUGUUUUCUCAUAGGUCGCCUGUUGUGCAUCAGGCUAUAUAAAGCUCAGUUUUUUGACAUGGAUAUGCCAGGUAGAGAACAUUAUCCCGUUCCAGUGACGGAAUUUGAUAGUAAGAGGUAAGGGAUGUGCACAGUAAUACAGAUACUGUAGUAUAGUCUUUAAAAUAAUACAGGUCCUUUCUGAUUUCAGAUUGGCAUUUACUUAACUGAAAUUGUUCAGUAUACUAUGAAGGUUUGAGAGGAAUAAAGAUUCUUGUAGCUUAAGAAAAUGUAUUUUGAUUCCAGUUUGAUUUUUUUUUUUUUAAACAAAUGGCACUUACUAUCAAAUACUAGUUAAAGUUCUGUACAUACAGUACUGUUGUUGGCAACAUACAAGCUUGCUGGCUAAGUAUUAUGCAACCAUUUAUUUUGUAUAAUGCAGUUACUUUUUCUGCAAAUAAUUAAAUGAAAGUUCUGUAGAAACAAAUGAAAAACAUCAUUGUUCAUCAAAACAAAAACUUGGGGUUUUUGAUGCUUUAAAUUCAAGCAUGAGAAAAUAUCCUUACAAAAGCAUUACAAAACCAAGGUUUAAACUGUAAACAAGCAGAGACACUGGUGGGACGUUUUUUAAUUCCCUUAUUUGAGUGCUGUAAAACUUAAAAUGUCCUAUAGGAGGCAGCAGUUUUAUUAGUUCAUGUAAGAAAACUGCUCGUCUUGCUAUAGAUAUGUUAAAUUCCAAGUAAAAGUUUUCCAUUGUACUAACUACUCUAAAACUUACUCAAAUGUAUUUCAUGAAGAUAGAAUUUCAAGAUUAAAUUAUUUUUAGGUUUACAAUCUUAGCAGUUGUGUGACUGUUAUGGUUACUGAAUAUACUUUAAAAAUAAAAUGACUCCUGAAGUGAUAUAAAAUUAUUACAUUCUAUGGGUUUUAGUAAUAUCCAGAAGGUUAACAUGCAGUGAGGAUAAGGUGUAUAUAUUGUGUACAUUAUACCAGUGUGGGGCUGCAAGGCAUCUCCAGAAGUCAUCUAGUUUAUAGCCUUGUUGAGUGAAGAAUGAAGUAUUUGCAGAGCAGUCUGUUAUUUUAAUACGUAACAUGCACUGAUUGAGGAACCUGUUUCAAUAGGUAACAUACUCCAUUACUUCCCUUCCUUAAAAUAGAGAGCUUUUCCUAAUAGUUUUUUAAGCAUUUUCUGCAAAUUAAGCUAAAUACUUUAAUCUUUCCUGCAAUGAAGAGCAACUGAACACUGGUUUUAUGACACAUUUUAAUAGACUGAGAGUUCUUCAGUAUUAUCACCUUCAUUGUUUUAGUUAGCCUGUGGCUGCAGCAGAAAAACCCAGCCCUGUAUUUUUCUCUUAUGUGUUAUUCCUAUAAUAAAGACCAAGUAUAAAUAAAGACUCUCUUAGCACUGUA